rnacentral:rRNA from 1 species
UACGGGGGGGGCAAGCGUUGUUCGGAAUUACUGGGCGUAAAGGGCUCGUAGGCGGCCAACUAAGUCAGACGUGAAAUCCCUCGGCUUAACCGGGGAACUGCGUCUGAUACUGGAUGGCUAGAGGUUGGGAGAGGGAUGCGGAAUUCCAGGUGUAGCGGUGAAAUGCGUAGAUAUCUGGAGGAACACCGGUGGCGAAGGCGGCAUCCUGGACAAAUUCUGACGCUGAGGAGCGAAAGCCAGGGGAGCAAACGGG